rnacentral:rRNA from 1 species
CUACGGGGUGCACCAGUGGGGAAUUUUGCGCAAUGGGCGAAAGCCUGACGCAGCAAUACCGCGUGAGUGAAGAAGGCCUUUGGGUCGUAAAGCUCUUUUCUGGGGGAAGAUAGUGACGGUACCCCAGGAAUAAGCACCGGCUAACUCCGUGCCAGCAGCCGCGGUAAUACGGAGGGUGCAAGCGUUGUUCGGAUUUACUGGGCGUAAAGGGCACGUAGGCGGCACAGCAAGUUAAGGGUGAUAUCCCGGGGCUCAACUCCGGAACUGCUCUUAAAACUGCUGAGCUAGAGAUAGUCAGAGGCGGGUGGAAUUCCUGGUGUAGAGGUGAAAUUCGUAGAUAUCAGGAGGAACACCGGUGGCGAAGGCGGCCCGCUGGGGCUAUUCUGACGCUAAGGUGCGAAAGCGUGGGGAGCGAACGGGAUUAGAACCCCAGUAGUC